rnacentral:tRNA from 1 species
CCGCCCUUAAUUUAGUGGCAGAAUACCGAGCUUGAAACUGACUAUAGCAGUACAAGCCUAUAGCGGGGCGCUGGUUCAAUUCCAGCAGGGCGGU